GUAUAGCCCUUCACGCAAUUCAUGAUAGUUUAAAAACUCAUGUCUUGAAUGACAUUAUCUUUGAUCAAGUAUACGUUCUAAGCAUUAGGAAUGAUAUUGUUCAUAUUGUUUCAUCCUGCUACCUGUUUGCAUGUUUUUGUUCGUUUAUCAAAUAUACGCAUGUACUUUGCUUAUCAAUAUCAUGUCCACGUGUUUGUGAAUGGAGGAUAAAGAUACUGUAAUAAUGUUUCAAAGAUGAAUAUCGUUAAACACGUUGAUUAAAUAUUAACAUAUUUUUAAAUCACAUUUAUGAGAGUUAGGCGAAGAUUUUGUGAUGGAUUUUAUAUUUGCUACUGUACAAUAGGGGAGGUUACUGCGUAGGAGACGAACAUUUUCUUAAACCGGUUUAGCAUCAAAUCAAGUAGGACCUACUCCGGUGACCUCAGACGAACAUUCGUGUAAAAAAUGGAUUGAAAUGGACAAUCAUAAACUUCUGGGCUAUGGGCUUAUUGAAGACAACUGUAUGGAGAUAAACAGAAACACAGAGGUGCUAUACUUUCUGAUGGAAAAGACAACAAAAGCAUCUCCCAUCAUUUUGGCGUGGCUCAGAUCAAGAGGAGAAAUUUAAAAAAGGUGAUGGUUGGGCACAAACAAGAAGACAUAGAUCACAGGCGUAUAGCAUAUGAGUAGACAGGAGUUUCACACUCUGCCAGACUUACUUCCUCAGACGAGCAGAUUUAGGCUUCUCAAGAUCACGCACUGCACACUAAGACAUAGUCUUUGACUACAACAAGGCCUUAGGGGAUGAAAGUACAGAGAGGUCCAAUUGAAAUCAAUUCUGUGCUGCGUCAUUUCUUUAUUCUAGAGGUUGAUGGACAUGAUUUAUGGCAUCAAGUGUGCAGUUUGUCAACUAACUAUCAACACAGCAGUCUUGUUCACCAGCUGCGCAACUUGAGCUUUUAGCUUUAUUGCUUGAAGCCACUGUAUAAGAGGAGGGAAGGUGCAGACUCAUCAAAAAGUCUCAAGGUUGAAACUAGGAAGAGAAGUUUGUCAAGAGUGUGAAUAUUUGCUUUGAAAACAAUUGUUACAAUGAUUUGGUUUCCUUUGAAACUUGAUACAUACUAUGUGUAUGUUGAAUGAAUUGAGAUGCUUAAAUAAAGAACCACUAUUCAAAUAUCAGGAAACUGCAUUUUUCAUACUAAAUUGGUAAAUGAUGUCACCAUUUCCUGUAUGUAUUUAGAUAAAAUAUGUUUCCAC